CCUACGGGAGGCAGCAGUAGGGAAUAUUGGGCAAUGGACGCAAGUCUGACCCAGCCAUGCCGCGUGCAGGAAGAAGGCCUUCUGGGUUGUAAACUGCUUUUUUACGGGAAGAAAAAGCGCUUGCGAGCGAAACUGACGGUACCGUAAGAAUAAGCACCGGCUAACUCCGUGCCAGCAGCCGCGGUAAUACGGAGGGUGCAAGCGUUGUCCGGAUUUAUUGGGUUUAAAGGGUGCGUAGGCGGCCCGAUAAGUCAGUGGUGAAAGCCCAUCGCUCAACGAUGGAACUGCCAUUGAUACUGUCGGGCUUGAGUACAGACGAGGUAGGCGGAAUUGAAGAUGUAGCGGUGAAAUGCAUAGAUAUCUUCAAGAACACCGAUUGCGUAGGCAGCUUACUAGGCUGUAACUGACGCUGAGGCACGAAAGCGUGGGGAGCGAACAGG
rnacentral:rRNA from 1 species